UACGGAGGGUGCUAGCGUUGUUCGGAAUCACUGGGCGUAAAGGGCGUGUAGGCGGUCUGUUAAGUCUGAUGUGAAAUCCCCUCGCUCAACGAGGGAACUGCGUCGGAUACUGGCAGACUCGAGUACCGGAGAGGAAGGUGGAAUUCCCGGUGUAGUGGUGGAAUGCGUAGAGAUCGGGAGGAACACCAGUGGCGAAAGCGACCUUCUGGGCUGCACCUGACACUCUAGUGCGAAAGCGUGGGGAGCAAACAGG
rnacentral:rRNA from 1 species